UACCAGCACCCCGAGUGGUCGGGACGUUUAUUGGGCCUAAAGCAUCCGUAGCCGGUUCUACAAGUCUUCCGUUAAAUCCAACUGCUUAACAGGUGGGCUGCGGAAGAUACUAUAGAGCUAGGAGGCGGGAGAGGCAAGCGGUACUCGAUGGGUAGGGGUAAAAUCCUUUGAUCCAUUGAAGACCACCAGUGGCGGAGGCGGCUUGCCAGAACGCGCUCGACGGUGAGGGAUGAAAGCUGGGGGAGCAAACCGG
rnacentral:rRNA from 1 species